rnacentral:rRNA from 1 species
GACGUAGGGCGCGAGCGUUGUCCGGAUUUAUUGGGCGUAAAGAGCUCGUAGGCGGCUUGUUGCGUCGACUGUGAAAACCCGCGGCUUAACUGCGGGCUUGCAGUUGAUACGGGCAGGCUAGAGUUCGGUAGGGGAGACUGGAAUUCCUGGUGUAGCGGUGAAAUGCGCAGAUAUCAGGAGGAACACCGGUGGCGAAGGCGGGUCUCUGGGCAUGUCCUGACGCUGAGGAGCGAAAGUGUGGGGAGCGAACAGG